rnacentral:lncRNA from 1 species
ACCCACAUUGGAGUGUCUUCCUCGAGGGCUUUAGAGACUUUCACCCAAGUACCCACCGUCCCACAUAAACAAUAUAUCAAAAGAUAAUGUUUGUAACAUCACAUAAACACUUCCCACCAAUCAAUUCUCUGAAUAUCAUCUGUGAUUAUUCCAUAUCCUUCUGUCAAUACAACCACACCAUGAACCAUUUCCACAACACUAAACCAAAAAUCGUCAUACCAAUAUGCAUUCCAAUCUCAAUGUAACAUUUCAACACAAUAAACCAAAAUGCAAUGACACAUUAAAACAUUUUACGAAAUCAUAGAAAUGACAUGAGAUUUCUAAUAAAUGUUUCAAGAAAAGAAAUCAGAUACAUUAUGG